CGUAAUGCUAUAAGCCUCUGACCAUCAUCAGAGCUGGAAAAAUUGUUCUUUUAAAAAAAAAAAAACAGUGGCUUUCAGGAUUCCCCAGCCAGCAGGAGCAUAGCAGGCUGGCUCGGGAGAUUUUGGCUCUCUCUACCAUCACUCCCACUUAGUGACUUGGUGUAUGUUAUUUUUUUUAAUCAUAAAAAUAACCACGGACUUUUCCCCCUCUCUUUCAGCUUCCCUUGCGGUCACAUCACAGAUUUCAGUGGAGGAAGUCACUACUGCUGUGGUGAGUUUGGAUUGCAACACCAUCAUUUUAACCACCGCCGUCUAGAUCGGGAGCCUUGGAAAGCCAAACUGGGGUAAAGGUAAGCAAACGGUGGCUACAGCAUAUUCAUUCAUUCAUUCAUUCAUUCAUUCAUUCAUUCAUUCAUUCAUUCAUUCAUUCUAUUUAUAUCCUGCCUAUCUGGUCAAUAAUAGCUGCCAGUGGUGAAUCCAUGGGACAUUCUGUACUGAUGUGUUGCUUUCCAGUUUAGCAAUUGCUGUAAUUCAGUGGGCCGGCUUUGGUGGAUUCAAGCCUAGAGUGUUGGAAUAAGUUGAGGGACGACCAC
rnacentral:lncRNA from 1 species